rnacentral:rRNA from 1 species
ACCGGCGAUUUCCGAAUGGGGAAACCCAGUGUGUUUCGACACACUAUCAUUAACUGAAUCCAUAGGUUAAUGAGGCGAACCGGGGGAACUGAAACAUCUAAGUACCCCGAGGAAAAGAAAUCAACCGAGAUUCCCCCAGUAGCGGCGAGCGAACGGGGAGCAGCCCAGAGCCUGAAUCAGUGUGUGUGUUAGUGGAAGCGUCUGGAAAGGCGCGCGAUACAGGGUGACAGCCCCGUACACAAAAAUGCACAUGCUGUGAGCUCGAUGAGUAGGGCGGGACACGUGGUAUCCUGUCUGAAUAUGGGGGGACCAUCCUCCAAGGCUAAAUACUCCUGACUGACCGAUAGUGAACCAGUACCGUGAGGGAAAGGCGAAAAGAACCCCGGCGAGGGGAGUGAAAAAGAACCUGAAACCGUGUACGUACAAGCAGUGGGAGCACGCUUAGGCGUGUGACUGCGUACCUUUUGUAUAAUGGGUCAGCGACUUAUAUUCUGUAGCAAGGUUAACCGAAUAGGGGAGCCGAAGGGAAACCGAGUCUUAACUGGGCGUUAAGUUGCAGGGUAUAGACCCGAAACCCGGUGAUCUAGCCAUGGGCAGGUUGAAGGUUGGGUAACACUAACUGGAGGACCGAACCGACUAAUGUUGAAAAAUUAGCGGAUGACUUGUGGCUGGGGGUGAAAGGCCAAUCAAACCGGGAGAUAGCUGGUUCUCCCCGAAAGCUAUUUAGGUAGCGCCUCGUGAAUUCAUCUCCGGGGGUAGAGCACUGUUUCGGCAAGGGGGUCAUCCCGACUUACCAACCCGAUGCAAACUGCGAAUACCGGAGAAUGUUAUCACGGGAGACACACGGCGGGUGCUAACGUCCGUCGUGAAGAGGGAAACAACCCAGACCGCCAGCUAAGGUCCCAAAGUCAUGGUUAAGUGGGAAACGAUGUGGGAAGGCCCAGACAGCCAGGAUGUUGGCUUAGAAGCAGCCAUCAUUUAAAGAAAGCGUAAUAGCUCACUGGUCGAGUCGGCCUGCGCGGAAGAUGUAACGGGGCUAAACCAUGCACCGAAGCUGCGGCAGCGACGCUGAUGCGUUGUUGGGUA